GUACCAAUCUCACUUGCUUGAACCUGUGUACAGAGGUGUGUCAUUCUGAUACCUACAAGGAAGCUGCUCUCAUGGUAGGGAUGCGGAAAUACUUCAUAGCAACUCUGUUUUGCCUGUGAUUUAAACUCCUUCUGAGGCUAUUGGAGACUGUAUGGGAACUGUUGAAUCACGGCCUGAACCUCUGAUUGACCACCUGAGGAGAGCGCUGAGUCAGCCACAGGGGCACAGGUGAACGCAAUUUCACCUCAGUGACUGGAUGGGGUGGAGCCUGGCUCCAGCCCUCCUAGACCCCAUUUAAGGGCUGACUCCCAAUUAGGAAAGACAUCUAUCUGGAGAUCAUUUUUCUUGGAGCCCUUCUGCAAGCCCAGGACACAGGCAAGAGAAGAUUGGAUCCUGAGUGGGCACCAGGCACUGCUAUACUUGCAGGUUCAGAUACCUGUCCCAGAAGAGAAGAAGAACUACAUACCCCAGAGGACUGUUUGGUAUUCUGGUACCAUUUCCACUCAGAGGGAAGAGAUGAAAGCUGUUCAUGUAUCAGGAGACACCCCUCGUUUCUCUUCUGCUCAGCCUAGCAAGACAUCUUGACUCAGCAUUAGA
rnacentral:lncRNA from 1 species